CACGUAGGGCGCAAGCGUUGUCCGGAAUUAUUGGGCGUAAAGAGCUCGUAGGUGGUUUGUUACGUCCGCUGUGAAAUCCUAGGGCUUAACCCUGGGCUUGCAGUGGAUACGGGCAGACUAGAGGUAGGUAGGGGAGAAUGGAAUUCCUGGUGUAGCGGUGAAAUGCGCAGAUAUCAGGAGGAACACCAAUAGCGAAGGCAGCUCGCUGGGACGGUACUGACGCUAAGGCGCGAAAGCGUGGGGAGCGAACAGG
rnacentral:rRNA from 1 species